CAGUUGUUUAUACAGAAGCAAUUAAUAUCAAUGGACCGCAACUUUGCAAAUGUGAGUUGCAAUUUGAAAGUGAAUAUCCAGUGUGAGUCAUGCCAGAAGAAGAUAAUGGAAGUGUUGCACUCUAUAAGAGAGAAGAGCCUAUGAACUGGUGCAGCAUUCUGUGAUGAUGAGGAAGCAGAUCGUCUGAUGUUUAAAGUUCUUAGUACUGAACUUGUCGUGUUUUUGAAAUGACGAGUUUAGAAUUUACUGUUUGUUUAAAUUUUAGUGUU